rnacentral:rRNA from 1 species
UACGGAGGGAGCUAGCGUUGUUCGGAAUUACUGGGCGUAAAGCGCACGUAGGCGGCUUUGUAAGUUAGAGGUGAAAGCUCGGGGCUCAACUCCGGAAUUGCCUUUAAGACUGCAUCGCUAGAAUUGUGGAGAGGUAAGUGGAAUUCCGAGUGUAGAGGUGAAAUUCGUAGAUAUUCGGAAGAACACCAGUGGCGAAGGCGGCUUUCUGGGUCCGCCCUGACGCUGAGGCGCGAAAGCGUGGGGAGCGAACGGG